AACGGAGAUAGAGGUCGCAUUUUUCAUAAGUAAGACGGCGGAUGUGCCAGGCACAUGAGAAGCCGCCUGAAAGGGGAAGAUGCCGAAGGGAGAAAGCGCCUGGAGCUUUGUCCCUGGGCAUGGCGUGAAUAACGGCAUGACUGUCAUCGCAGGAUGGAGAGCUAUCUGAUAU
rfam:Lachnoclostridium sp. An76 An76_contig_1, whole genome shotgun sequence.